rnacentral:rRNA from 1 species
AACGAACGCUGGCGGCAUGCCUAACACAUGCAAGUCGAACGAGACCUUCGGGUCUAGUGGCGCACGGGUGCGUAACGCGUGGGAACCUGCCCUUAGGUUCGGAAUAACUCCCCGAAAGGGGUGCUAAUACCGGAUAAUGUCUUCGGACCAAAGAUUUAUCGCCUUUGGAUGGGCCCGCGUUGGAUUAGCUAGUUGGUAGGGUAAAAGCCUACCAAGGCGACGAUCCAUAGCUGGUCUGAGAGGAUGCUCAGCCACACUGGGACUGAGACACGGUCCAGACUCCUACGGGAGGCAGCAGUGGGGAAUAUUGGACAAUGGGCGCAAGCCUGAUCCAGCAAUGCCGCGUGAGUGAUGAAGGCCUUAGGGUUGUAAAGCUCUUUUACCCGGGAUGAUAAUGACAGUACCGGGAGAAUAAGCUCCGGCUAACUCCGUG